rnacentral:misc_RNA from 1 species
GAAAAGGACUUGCACGUCUGAUCUUAGUGAUCAUAUUAAUGACACAAACAAACACUAUCCAAAGCUAGUGAUCAUUGCAGAAAUCAUAUCUUUGUUCGCACACAACACAAACACAUUCCUCACGCAUCAUUGGCCAUGGACACACAAGCCAUAAGUGACAGUCUCAGAAAAGCAAUUCCACCCAGUAAAAUGUUAAAGAAGAAACACAAAUCAAACUAAAAAAAAAAACCUUAAAUGAUUUCCAACUUAUCAAAAACCCAAAUUCUAAAUCCAAA